rnacentral:rRNA from 1 species
GAUGAACGCUGGCGGCGUGCCUAAUACAUGCCAGUCGAGCGAACAGACGAGGAGCUUGCUCCUCUGACGUUAGCGGCGGACGGGUGAGUAACACGUGGAUAACCUACCUAUAAGACUGGGAUAACUUCGGGAAACCGGAGCUAAUACCGGAUAAUAUAUUGAACCGCAUGGUUCAAUAGUGAAAGACGGUUUUGCUGUCACUUAUAGAUGGAUCCGCGCCGCAUUAGCUAGUUGGUAAGGUAACGGCUUACCAAGGCAACGAUGCGUAGCCGACCUGAGAGGGUGAUCGGCCACACUGGAACUGAGACACGGUCCAGACUCCUACGGGAGGCAGCAGUAGGGAAUCUUCCGCAAUGGGCGAAAGCCUGACGGAGCAACGCCGCGUGAAUGAUGAAGGUCUUCGGAUCGUAAAACUCUGCUAUUAGGGAAGAACAAAUGUGUAAGUAACUAUGCACGUCUUGACGGUACCUAAUCAGAAAGCCACGGCUAACUACGUG